rnacentral:rRNA from 2 species
CGGCAGGCGGGUGCUAUACUGCAGUCGACGCACAGCGAAAGGUGCUUGCACCUUUCAAGUGAGUGGCGAACGGGUGAGUAACACGUGGACAACCUGCCUCAAGGCUGGGGAUAACAUUUGGAAACAGAUGCUAAUACCGAAUAAAACUUAGUGUCGCAUGACAUAAAGUUAAAAGGCGCUUCGGCGUCACCUAGAGAUGGAUCCGCGGUGCAUUAGUUAGUUGGUGGGGUAAAGGCCUACCAAGACAAUGAUGCAUAGCCGAGUUGAGAGACUGAUCGGCCACAUUGGGACUGAGACACGGCCCAAACUCCUACGGGAGGCUGCAGUAGGGAAUCYUCCACAAUGGGCGAAAGCCUGAUGRAGCAACGCCGCGUGUGUGAUGAAGGCUUUCGGGUCGUAAAGCACUGUUGUAUGGGAAGAACAGCUAGAAUAGGAAAUGAUUUUAGUUUGACGGUACCAUACCAGAAAGGGACGGCUAAAUACGUGCCAGCAGCCGCGGUAAUACGUAUGUCCCGAGCGUUAUCCGGAUUUAUUGGGCGUAAAGCGAGCGCAGACGGUUUAUUAAGUCUGAUGUGAAAGCCCGGAGCUCAACUCCGGAAUGGCAUUGGAAACUGGUUAACUUGAGUGCAGUAGAGGUAAGUGGAACUCCAUGUGUAGCGGUGGAAUGCGUAGAUAUAUGGAAGAACACCAGUGGUGAAGGCGGCUUACUGGACUGCAACUGACGUUGAGGCUCGAAAGUGUGGGUAGCAAACAGGAUUAGAUACCCUGGUAGUCCACACCGUAAACGAUGAACACUAGGUGUUAGGAGGUUUCCGCCUCUUAGUGCCGAAGCUAACGCAUUAAGUGUUCCGCCUGGGGAGUACGACCGCAAGGUUGAAACUCAAAGGAAUUGACGGGGACCCGCACAAGCGGUGGAGCAUGUGGUUUAAUUCGAAGCAACGCGAGAACCUUACCAGGUCUUGACAUCCUUUGAAGCUUUUAGAGAUAGAAGUGUUCUCUUCGGAGACAAAGUGACAGGUGGUGCAUGGUCGUCGUCAGCUCGUGUCGUGAGAUGUUGGGUUAAGUCCCGCAACGAGCGCAACCCUUAUUGUUAGUUGCCAGCAUUCAGAUGGGCACUCUAGCGAGACUGCCGGUGACAAACCGGAGGAAGGCGGGGACGACGUCAGAUCAUCAUGCCCCUUAUGACCUGGGCUACACACGUGCUACAAUGGCGUAUACAACGAGUUGCCAACCCGCGAGGGUGAGCUAAUCUCUUAAAGUACGUCUCAGUUCGGAUUGUAGUCUGCAACUCGACUACAUGAAGUCGGAAUCGCUAGUAAUCGCGGAUCAGCACGCCGCGGUGAAUACGUUCCCGGGUCUUGUACACACCGCCCGUCAGCACCAUGGGAGUUUGUAAUGCCCAAAGCCGGUGGCCUAACCUUUUAGGAAGAGCCGUCUAAGCAGAAGAAGC